rnacentral:rRNA from 1 species
AACGAACGCUGGCGGCGUGGAUAAGACAUGCAAGUCGAGCGGGAACUUUCGCUGUAGCAAUACAGUGAAAGUUCUAGCGGCGAACGGGUGCGUAACACGUGGACAAUCUGCCUUAAAGUGGGGGAUAGCUCGGCGAAAGCCGAAUUAAUACCGCAUGUGAUGAGAGACGACAUCGUCUUGAAAUCAAAGCCGGGGCAACCUGGCGCUUUUUGAGGAGUCCGCGGCCAUCAGCUAGUUGGUGAGGUAACGGCCCACCAAGGCUAUGACGGGUAGCUGGUCUGAGAGGACGACCGGUCACACUGGAACUGAGACACGGUCCAGACACCUACGGGUGGCAGUAGUCGAGAAUUUUUGACAAGUGGGGAAACCCUGAUCGAGCGACGCCGCGUGGAGGA